rnacentral:rRNA from 1 species
GACAGAGGUGCCAAGCGUUAGGCGGAAUCACUGGGCUUAAAGCGUGUGUAGGCGGGCGAUCAAGUACCUUGUGAAAUCCCACGGCUCAACCGUGGAGCUGCUGGGUAUACUGGUUGUCUUGAGCCAGCUAGGGGCGAGCGGAACAGACGGUGGAGCGGUGAAAUGCGUAGAUAUUCGGAAGAACACCAGUGGCGAAGGCAGCGAACUGGCGCUUUAUCGACGCUCAGGCACGAAAGCAUGGGGAUCAAACAGG